rnacentral:lncRNA from 1 species
AGGAAAGACAGUUAGUGACUUCCAUGCUGGGUCCUAAGGAUGACUUCCCUCUCCAGCCAAGUCCCUAUUGCUGAAGACACCACACUUGCAAUAUAGGACAUGGAGGAUCCGAGCUGGAUCUGACCUGAGGACUAACUUCCAUAGUCUCAGAAGUGCUAUGCCAGCUGUUGAGGACAGAAAGCAACCAACAGCCCUACUUAGCUGUGAAGUUUAUGAACCUCAUUGACCAGCAUGGCAAGAUAGCCUUAAGGGUGGCAUUUAUAUCUUCUCAGUAACCAACAGCUACCUCAUUGGACCCAAGGCCCACUUAACAAGAGGGAAACCUAGCUAAUUCCCCGAGUGAGGUCAUGAGCCUUAGAGGAGAACCUAACCACCACUUCACUAAAACAGACUAAUUCCUAAGAACAUUCUAAAUACUUACUCUUUUUUUUUUUAAGACUUAUUUAUUUAUAUAUAUGAGUACACUGUCACUGUCUUCAGACAUACUAAAAUAGGGCAUCAGAUCCCAUUACAGAUGUUUGUGAGCCACCAUGUGGGUGCUAGGAAUUGAACUCAGGACCUCUGGGAGAACAUUCAGUGCUCUUAACCACUGAGCCAUCUCUCCAGUCCCGAAAUACUUAUUCUUCUCCCCAAAGAUAAAUGUAGCUUCCAAGGCUUACCAAAGAAGCCUCUCUUUGCAACAGACUGGUCAAAAUCUAGAGAGCAACUGAUUGUCGGGUACCCAACCCCAAGAGAUACAUCUACAGGAUAACUCGCACACCCAAGGCUCAGGAACAUCAUGGAAGAAGGGUAGACAAAUUGUAAGAGCCAGAGGACCAGGAUGUUUGCUGAGAGACUGUGCCUCCUAGAAGUAGUACAGAAGCGUCUUCCAGGACACCUCAACAGCGUGGCUGCCCAAACAAGACUUGAACAACUCUAGAUGAAGAACUACCGGCAACUAACAAUUGUGCAAGAAGGGGAAAGAGUCUUCCCUGGGGACGAGCCCCCAAUUAGUCAUCCAACACCAGUGGUCAGCCCUGAAAUCAUGUAUAUAAGCAACGCUGAACAGACUCAGCAGGUAAUAUUUAUGUGUUUAUGCAUACACACACAGAGAGAGACAUAUAUAUGGAAAAGGCCAGGAAUUUAAGAGUAGAGUACUAUGCAGCACUGAAGAAUGAAGCUGGAGUAUAUGCUCUGGCAUUACAAGAAUGGCUGUGAUGUGCUUUUAAGCUGCAGAGCAGUAUGUAUGGAUCAAUUCUGCUUUUGG